UCCUCUUCCUCCUCCUCCUCCUCCCUUUUCCUCUGUGUGUUAGUUUGUCCUGUUUCCAAGGCAUACACAUAUAGAACAUGGCCUUUGAUCUGGAGUCCUUGUCAGAGGCAACAUCGGGAGCCAUCGGUGCUCUGGUUAGCACCACCAUCCUGUACCCUCUUGAUACCUGCAAGACUAAGUAUCAAGCUGAACUUAGAGCUCGUCAUCGACAAAAGUACAGGAAUAUUUCUGAUGUUUUUUGGGAGGCAAUUUCUUCGGGUCAGAUUCUUUCAUUGUACCAGGGCCUUGGAACAAAGAACUUGCAAUCUUUCAUUUCACAAUUUGUGUAUUUCUAUGGGUACAGCUUCUUUAAGCGCCUGUACUUGGAGAAAAGUGGCAACAAAAGGAUUGGAGCAAAGGCAAACUUGUUGGUUGCUGCAGCUGCUGGGGCUUGUACUGUCAUUGUGACACAACCCUUGGAUACAGCAUCCUCAAGGAUGCAAACAAGUGCAUUUGGAAAAUCUGAGGGACUUUGGAAAACCCUUUCUGAGGGCACAUGGAGCGAGGCAUUUGAUGGUCUUGGCAUAUCCCUUCUUCUGACAUCAAACCCAUCUAUCCAGGUGUCUCUACUAUGCUUUCUAGUAUUAGGUUGACUGUGCAGUCCAUAUUUAGAUUUUAGAGUGUGAUUGGGGUUGCUCUCUCAUCAUAGAUCAUAGAAGUUAGUUAUCAGCACAACUCUGAUUUACUGCAAAUGGCCUUUUGGAUAACAGCAUAUGAAAGGGGAAUAAUGGUGCUUUUGAACCCACUUCUGGAGUGGGAGAGUGCAUAUCCAGGAACAAUUGAGGGAUAUGAUUCUGGUUUUGGAGUUGCCCUUUUAUUUUUUGGAUGAGGGGAAUAUGAAACAUUGAUUUUACUUGUUUUUAAGAUUUAGUACCUUUAAGAUUUUGGUGUGGUGGGACUGUUUUUCACUUCUUCCAAAUUUUAGGAAGACUAUUGGCUAAUGAACAUGAUUUUGUACCCUAAAUUUCUGGUUUGCAUUUUUGGGUGAUUCCAAGUGAAAGACUGAGAGUGACUCUAUUUUAAAGAUUUUAUCAGUUAAGCUGAAAUAAGAACUCUAUGUUUUACAGUACACAGUGUUUGAUCAGUUGAAACAAAGACUGUUGAAGCAGCAGCUCAGCAAAAAAUCCAUUACAGAUUCAUCUCCAGAAGCUCUUUCUGCUUUUUCUGCUUUUGUCUUGGGUGCAGUUUCAAAAUGUAUGGCAACUUGCAUCACAUAUCCAGCUAUCCGGUAACUGGUCAAUUCAAUAUUUUACUGUUUCUCGACAUUCUUUUAAAUAUCUUCUGUUAUGCUUUCACUAAUCUUUGAUUAAUAAACUCAACUUUAUUUUUUUAUAAAAAUGGAUGUGAAGAUAAUUGAUGUGAAAUCACUCUUAUUAAAGGUAUUCUUCAAACCUGUUAACCCAUUUAAGAUUUGAACUUUAAGCAGAUGUAAAGUGAUGCUCCAGGCUGCAGAUUCAGAUGAAAAUGGGAAUGGGGAAGUUAAACCUAAAACCAAAAAGACAAUUUCAGGUGCAAUGUAUGCUAUUUGGAAAAGGGAAGGCUUGUUGGGGUUCUUCAAAGGAUUAUCAGCCCAGAACUUGAAGACUGUGCUAAGCUCAGCUUUGCUUCUGAUGAUAAAAGAGAAGAUAGCAAAGACUACAUGGGUCCUAAUCCUUGCACUUAGAAGGUAUCUGUUCAUCACACCCGCCAGAAUAAAGAGUGUGGGAUUGCAGUGAGAAUCAAAUACAUGAUAUCCUUGUAAAUAAAGCGGCUUCACUUGAAUGUCCAUCUUUAGAGGAAAUAUUAUUGCAAACGCAGUAAUAAUGCAGCAGGCACUGGGAAACUCAAAGUCAGUUUUAUUUCUCAGGAAGAAAGUUCAAUUUGUAGCAAAUAGGGAUCUUAAAAAUUCUCAUUGUCCUUUUAAAGAUGAAUAGUGUCCAAUGGAUAACUUGUGCACUGAUCAAGAAGUAAAAAUUUCAAAUUGAUUCUUCCAUGGGCAAUGGAUUGUUUUUGUCGAGCUAUGGAUGAUAAUUAAAUCAGGC
rnacentral:misc_RNA from 1 species